rnacentral:rRNA from 1 species
CCUACGGGAGGCAGCAGUGGGGAAUAUUGGACAAUGGGCGAAAGCCUGAUCCAGCAAUGCCGCGUGAGUGAUGAAGGCCUUAGGGUUGUAAAGCUCUUUUACCCGGGAUGAUAAUGACAGUACCGGGAGAAUAAGCUCCGGCUAACUCCGUGCCAGCAGCCGCGGUAAUACGGAGGGAGCUAGCGUUAUUCGGAAUUACUGGGCGUAAAGCGCACGUAGGCGGCUUUGUAAGUAAGAGGUGAAAGCCUGGAGCUCAACUCCAGAAUUGCCUUUUAGACUGCAUCGCUUGAAUCCAGGAGAGGUGAGUGGAAUUCCGAGUGUAGAGGUGAAAUUCGUAGAUAUUCGGAAGAACACCAGUGGCGAAGGCGGCUCACUGGACUGGUAUUGACGCUGAGGUGCGAAAGCGUGGGGAGCAAACAGGAUUAGAUACCCGUGGUAGUCCACGCCGUAAACGAUGAUAACUAGCUGUCGGGGUUCUUAGAACUUCGGUGGCGCAGCUAACGCAUUAAGUUAUCCGCCUGGGGAGUACGGCCGCAAGGUUAAACUUAAAGGAAUUGACG